GGAAAAUCUCCUUACAAUAUAAAGCGCCCAAAGGUACAAUUGUUACACAAACUAUAUACAAUAUCAAAAUUCUAAAUUGUAAAUUUCAGAUGUCUGAGGUAAAAACAACUUUAGAGUUCAUAAGAUGGGAACUUUGCUGCAUAUGGCUCAAUCAUGUCAAAAAAGAGAUAUGCCAUUCCCCCAAUUCCUUCAAACAAGGAAUAAGGGCAAUCACCAGAAUGCAUCUUCCCUUCUGAUAUUAGCUUUUGUGCAUUCUGAUGCAGAAAGCAUGCAAAUGCUUUGGCUCUGUAUAAGUAUAUGAGAUCACCCGUCAACUGGUAAAGUGAAAGAAACACAUACGUGUUACCGCUAAUUCCAUGGCAGAUGCCAACCCGUUUGAGUAGACCACGGUUCCAGACGACUUCCCCAGCAUCUACCGCAGCUUGCAGAAAUUCUUCGUCUCCAAAAACCUCAGCUGCUUUUAUGAGGGUAAGUGCAACCCCAGGAGCCCCAUGGCACCAGUGGACCAGACGGUCAGAUUCUUUUCCUUCACUUGAAGGAUAAUUGCCACUUGGAAAUCGAUUUUUAAUCAUGUAACGUAGCGUAUUCUUGACAUCCUCAACCUCAUCUGGCUUUAGUUCCAUGUUCAUCAAGACAUGCAUAAUUCCAGCCAGUCCAUGGGCAGCACCCCAGUACUUCUUCCCAUGCCAUUCAUACAUCAAUGGAGAUUUGCUCUUCUUACCCAAUCCCCUACCAGCCUCAAUGACUUCGUCCACCACUGAUCUCAUAAUAGCGUUAGAUAUCGUGUUCCGACCAAUGUGCUUGUUUAGGAACAAACAGGCCCAUAGGAACCCUGCUCUGCCAUAUAGGAGUUCAUUUGGCAAAUCACUAGGUAGUUUGAUCUGCUCUCACAGGCAUAUAAAUGGGGUCUCAAAAUUCAUAAGCAUAAAAAUGGAAGGAAGCCAACAUGAAAUCAAUGGUGAAAAAGCAUUACAUCUUUAAACUUUUCCAAGUAAUGGUCGACGAGCCUUCCAUCAUUAGCGAGCUUUGCGGCAAC
rnacentral:misc_RNA from 1 species